rnacentral:rRNA from 1 species
AUUGAACGCUGGCGGAAUGCUUUACACAUGCAAGUCGAACGGUAGAGGGAGCAAUCCCUUGAGAGUGGCGAACGGGUGAGUAAUACAUCGGAACGUGCCCAGUCGUGGGGGAUAACGUAGCGAAAGCUACGCUAAUACCGCAUACGAUCUAAGGAUGAAAGCGGGGGACCGUAAGGCCUCGCGCGAUUGGAGCGGCCGAUGGCAGAUUAGGUAGUUGGUGAGGUAAAGGCUGCCCAAGCCGACGAGCUGUAGCUGGUCUGAGAGGAUGAUCAGCCACACUGGAACUGGGACACGGUCCAGAAUCCUACGGGAGGCAGGAGUGGGGAAUUUUGGACAAUGGGGGCAACCCUGAUCCAGCAAUGCCGCGGGAGUGAAGAAGGCCUUCGGGUUGUAAAGCUCUUUUGUCAGGGAAGAAACAGCAGCUCUAACACAGUCUGCGAAUGACGGUACCUGAAGAAUAAGCACCGGCUAACUACGUGCCAGCCGCCGCCGUAACAC